rnacentral:lncRNA from 1 species
AAUUGAAUCAUAAAUUCACAAUACAUCAAAUGGUCUCCAAUUACUCCAUUUUCAAAACCAUCAUUCAAUUUCAAGACAAUUUAUAAAAUCAUUUCAUUUAAACACAUUUUGUUUAUAAAACCUAAAAAUUAACCAUUUAAACUCAUUUUUCAUAACAUUUACAAAAUCGAAUAAAAAGACAACUUUAGAUAAUUAAAAUGAUGAUAAGGUUACUCACUUUUUCGGGAGUCGAAUUUUUAGAGUACUUCGACUAUCGAUCCUCGGGUACAAUUUCUUUGCCCUUAUCGGAGGAUUCACCACCUAGACAUAAUGCACAAUCAAGCAAUUUACCACAUUGGUGCUAAAUCGUUAUAAAACUAUAUGGAUGCAUGAAAUGGAAUGCAAAUUGUUCGGGUUGUCGUCUAAACACGGUGUUCUACACAAAUUCAAUUGUGUACCUAAAUAAAACGGUAUUGGCCUAAUUCGAUCUAUCACUCGAUUAAUUGGCCAAUAUGCCCAAUUAAACUCCAAUUAACUCUAUUUUUCUUCCAAUUCUCCAAACCAUCAACCACAAGUCAAAUAGCAUAAAAUUUAGCAAAAUCAUCUUCACAUUUUCUCUUGGGAAUUUCGGCCAUGAUGGGUGCAUCAACAUUAUGAUUUUUCCUACUUGAUUUUCUCAUCGUAAUUCAUCAUUUCCUAACCAAUUCACUUGAGAUAAAAUCAAAUCUACCAUCCACACCUUACAUGGAAAAUUCGGCCAAUGAUGGGUAAUGGGAGGAAGUGAAUUUUUCUUGUUUGUUUUUCAUGCUACACAUCACUAACUAAAUAAAAACACUAAAAUACAUUGAAAUCUAACCAAAUCCAAGUUCAAAACUCCUCCCCCCGUGUCCGGCAAGCAAGGGUAUCCUCAUGCAAACUUGAUUCUCAACCAUAGAAAAUGAAAAAGAAUGCAUAGGAAAGGUAAAUCACAAGCUAGAAUUGAAAAAUCUUACCUUUUGUUACUUGAUUCUUUGAAAUUUUGUGAAUUUCUCUUGAAUUUCUUAGCUAGGUUUUUGUUGUUCUUCUUUUCUUCCCUUUUCUUCCUUUGUUCUUGCUUUGG